CCACCGGAGCUUGCUCCACCGGAAAAAGAAGAGUGGCGAACGGGUGAGUAACACGUGGGUAACCUGCCCAUCAGAAGGGGAUAACACUUGGAAACAGGUGCUAAUACCGUAUAACAAUCGAAACCGCAUGGUUUUGAUUUGAAAGGCGCUUUCGGGUGUCGCUGAUGGAUGGACCCGCGGUGCAUUAGCUAGUUGGUGAGGUAACGGCUCACCAAGGCCACGAUGCAUAGCCGACCUGAGAGGGUGAUCGGCCACAUUGGGACUGAGACACGGCCCAAACUCCUACGGGAGGCAGCAGUAGGGAAUCUUCGGCAAUGGACGAAAGUCUGACCGAGCAACGCCGCGUGAGUGAAGAAGGUUUUCGGAUCGUAAAACUCUGUUGUUAGAGAAGAACAAGGAUGAGAGUAACUGUUCAUCCCUUGACGGUAUCUAACCAGAAAGCCACGGCUAACUACGUGCCAGCAGCCGCGGUAAUACGUAGGUGGCAAGCGUUGUCCGGAUUUAUUGGGCGUAAAGCGAGCGCAGGCGGUUUCUUAAGUCUGAUGUGAAAGCCCCCGGCUCAACCGGGGAGGGUCAUUGGAAACUGGGAGACUUGAGUGCAGAAGAGGAGAGUGGAAUUCCAUGUGUAGCGGUGAAAUGCGUAGAUAUAUGGAGGAACACCAGUGGCGAA
rnacentral:rRNA from 1 species